rnacentral:rRNA from 1 species
UACGGGGGGGGCAAGCGUUGUUCGGAAUUACUGGGCGUAAAGGCUCGUAGGCGGCCAACUAAGUCCGACGUGAAAUCCCCAGGCUUAACCUGGGAACUGCGUCGGAUACUGGAUGGCUUGAAUUCGGGAGAGGGAUGCAGAAUUCCAGGUGUAGCGGUGAAAUGCGCAGAUAUCAGGAGGAACACCGAUGGCGAAGGCAGCUCGCUGGGACGGUACUGACGCUGAGACGCGAAAGCGUGGGGAGCAAACAGG